rnacentral:rRNA from 1 species
UACGUAGGGUGCGAGCGUUAAUCGGAAUUACUGGGCGUAAAGCGUGCGCAGGCGGUUCGUUAUGUCUGGUGUGAAAGCCCCGGGCUCAACCUGGGAAUGGCAUUUGGGACUGCAAGGCUGGAGUUUGGCAGAGGAGACUGGAAUUCCCGGUGUAGCAGUGAAAUGCGUAGAUAUCGGGAGGAAUACCGAUGGCGAAGGCAGGUCUCUGGGCUAUAACUGACGCUCAUGCACGAAAGCGUGGGGAGCAAACAGG